UUCAGGUUUAAGGUUCUAUACAUGGUUCAGAUUUUAAGUUCAGGUUUAAGUGGAUUAGAUUCAGUUUAAGUUCAGUUUUUAAAUUUAUGUGGUUCAGGUUUAAGGUUCAGUUUAAGUUCAGGUUUAAGGUUCUGUACAUGGUUCAGGGUUAGGUCUAGGUGAUUUAAGUUCUGAUUUAAAUUUAUGUUUAGGUUCAGACUUCAAUUCAGGUUUAGGUAAAUUUAAAUUCAGGUUGAGAGAAUAGAUUCAGGUUCAGAAGAGAUAAGAUAGGAGAGGUAAGAGAGAAG
rnacentral:lncRNA from 1 species